GAAAUCCCGGGCAACUGGGAGAGUAAAGUGGCCCACGGGUGAGUAACGCGUGGGUAAUCUACCCUGGAGUUAGGAAUAACACCUCGAAAGGGGUGCUAAUACCUGAUAUGGUCCUCGGGUCUUCGGGUUUGAGGAUGAAAGAUGGCUGAGGCUUGCAAGCUAUUGCUCCAGGAUGAGCCCGCGUACCAUUAGCUUGUUGGUAGGGUAACGGCCUACCAAGGCAAUGAUGGUUAGCUGGUCUGAGAGGAUGGCCAGCCACACUGGAACUGAGAUACGGUCCAGA
rnacentral:misc_RNA from 1 species